rnacentral:rRNA from 1 species
AUUGAACGCUGGCGGCAUGCCUUACACAUGCAAGUCGAACGGCAGCGGACCUUCGGGUGCCGGCGAGUGGCGAACGGGUGAGUAAUGCAUCGGAACGUGCCAUUGAGUGGGGGGAUAAACGUAGCGAAAGUUACGCUAAUACCGCAUAUUCUGUGAGCAGGAAAGAGGGGGAUCGCAAGACCUCUUGCUUUAGGAGCGGCCGAUGUCGGAUUAGCUAGUUGGUGAGGUAAAGGCUCACCAAGGCGACGAUCCGUAGCGGGUCUGAGAGGAUGAUCCGCCACACUGGGACUGAGACACGGCCCAGACUCCUACGGGAGGCAGCAGUGGGGAAUUUUGGACAAUGGGCGCAAGCCUGAUCCAGCCAUGCCGCGUGAGUGAAGAA